rnacentral:tRNA from 1 species
AGCGCAGGUCACAGGCAUACAACGUCCAGUCUUCCAAACUGGCUACGCGGGUUCGAUUCCCGUCGUCC